GUGUUUCAAAGGAGAGAUGAUUGCAUCUCCCCUGACAGAAUCAGAAACAGCCUUCAGGCUUCCCUGUUAAUACAAACAGAUUAAGAAUUAUAUCAUGACAAGAAAAAUCCUUACCAUUGUUGU